ACGAGGUCAAGACGUCAAUAUCUUCAAUAAAACGUAGACUUUGAUCAUUGAAGCUACGACUUAUCUGAAGCGGAGCGCGUACUUCACUCCAUUUGACCAUCUAUGAACGACUGAACCACUGCAAAAGACAACAAACAACAAGACGUCCAAAUGUGAGCCGCCUACGAGCGAUGGAGUGGACCGUUUCACCUGAUGCCGCCAAAUAUGGGACAAAAUGUGAACAAAAAAGAAGCUCCAAAGACUGGUUUCCUCCAGAGAUGGCGCUAUUGAGAAGAAGACUGCACAUACUAGACGAGUGUACUCCGUGGUGUGAAGACAAUCUGUUUGGAUUGAAGGAUCAAGGCUGCGGCACAGAGCAAACGAACGAGUGGAACGAGUGGGACGCUUCUGUAUUAUAUGACAGAAUAUAAAGGAAACUCAAAUUGGGAUACGGCUUGAACUUGCUGGGCGGAACUGGUUUGGUGACUUUCCUAAAACCAAAUGUGUUGUGGCUGGAGAACGUUAUCCAUGACAAACGCUGAAUAAUCCACAGACGAGGACAAGCUAUUUAAAUGUGCGGACUCUCCAGAUGCGUGCAGACUCAUGGCGAUACUAUGGGUCAUUUCACCUGAACAGAGCAACUUACAGCUUACGUUCAGAAAAUAUGGGAUGGCAUCUGGACAUAAACGGAGCUCCAAAGACUGGUUUCCUCCAGAGAUGGCUCAAAUUAAGAGGCUGAUCUACUACAACAUGCUCGCUGGACUCCGGGACAGUUGGGCAGGGUUUGGUGAACAAGACAAAAAGGUUUUCAGCAAGUCACUGCCAUAAAACUCUGAGGACUCGAGAAUGAUCUGACUUCACUACAGUGUGGGCAGCUCCAAUAAAACUUUAUUUAUACACU